rnacentral:lncRNA from 1 species
GUUUUUGUUUACUGUAUUUCCCUUCUUGUACUCCUGCUGCUCUUGACAUACCUCUAGAGGAACACGCUGGACUUCACUCUUGUUCUCACCUCAUCAGCAAGAUCCACAAUUGAGUUUGUACAUUUGUUCUGCAGAGCACACCUUCUCAUCCUGGCUGUGGUACCCCUGUGCUGUGGUGAUGUGCAGUUGCACUUCUGCCUGCCUGAAGGAUGUACACUACCCCCAGAAGAAACCAGUUCUGCCCUUUUCCCUGUCUGCUGGAGAGAAGAAUAAGAAAGCUGUUUCUCCUCCACAUGAUAGCAUCUGGAGAUAACAGAGAAGAGCCUUUGGGUUGAGCAUGUAGAGAAGAUGGAAGAAAGAAACAAAGAAGGAGGAAAAUGUCUUGUUCUUUCAUUCGCACCUGUUAAUUUAAUAGCCAGAAUCAUCCAUCAUGGUGAAGUACAAGGAAGAUAUUGCAUGAAAGGACCAGCAAGACGCCUCAAAUUGCACUUGCUGCAUCUGCAGGUGUUGUGGGAUGCAUUCCUUGGCUUAACUGGGACAGGCUGGUGUAGCUGCAGUGGAAGACUGGGAGGCUGCAGAAAGAUGUGCUGUGAAAUGAGCUGUAGAACCUUCCCCUUAGGAGUGCAGAAGGGUGGCAUGGAGAGUCAGGACAUGUAUGCAGGAAAUGAAGACACAGUAAGAAGAUGCUGCUUUUCUUGGAGAGUCCAGAAGUGCUGAAUUGCACUGGUUUGCCCCUGUGCUUCUCCAUGCAGCUUCCUAACCCACCCGGGAGCAUGCGCUGGCGCUGUGCCCCUCAGGAAGCUGACAGCAGAGCCAGAUCACUGCAAUGGAAGGUGUGUGGGAAACUUGCAUGACAGCCUGGUGGUUUGCAGCAGGGACAUCUCAAAACCAGGCAGCAGAUUCCAGCCUGCUGUGUUUUCCUGCAUCCCUGGCCAAGGCUGGGACACGCUGCUUCAUGCAGAGGCAAUGUGAUGUUGGCGGGACUGAUUGGGCAAUAUCUUUCUGACAGACAAUGCUCUUUUACCAACAAACUUUUAUUUGGAAAGGAAAACUAUAUUUUGGCGCAGUGACCUUGAAGGAUUGCCAAGGUCUGAGGGGAAAUCUGCUUUUUUGGCAUCCUGUGAACCCUCAGGUUUUGGGGCAGAAGUGGCAGGGUGACAUCAGUAAGCAAGGAGCUCUCCGUAAGGAUUGGCUGUUACAAGAAUUGACACAGAUCAGGGCUCUCCCUUUGGACACCUUCUCCAUUAGUUCCCAUUAGCCUAACAAUACCCAACUCCUAGGGCUGAAUUGGUUAUUUUUACAUAUUCAAACUCAUGAUUUAUCCCUGGCUGUAAGAAAUGCAAGGGCUUGCAACCUCAUCCUAACACUCUUGUAUCAGCACUGAAAUUAAAUAAUAACUGCAUGUUAUUACACACAAAUACUUGUAGUAUAAAUUGCUUAAACAGAAUGUGAUGUUUGCCAUUUCUGAAUCUGGCCAUAAUGAAUUCUCUUGUUUUGAUAUUAUUCAAGCAAAGAAUUAAUCAGUUAGCCUUUGAUGGGAAAGGAGUAUUUUUCUCUUCAUUUUAGGUUUCUGUUUUCUAAGAAAAGGUACUGAAAACACUUAGAAGUACUGCUUAACAAUGCAAAUGAGCACAUUUACUUUACUAACAGAGUGUUUCUAUUCUUAAAUGGAAAAAAAAGAGAAUACCAUUUUUGAAAAGCUGUGAGAAAGCUACGAGGUUUGACACCUACAGACUUCUGUGGUUGAUAAAAAAAAAAAUAAAAAAAAUAAAAGAGUAAAAAUGUUCUUGCUU